AGCCCGCGGCCUAUCAGCUUGUUGGUGAGGUAACGGCUCACCAAGGCGACGACGGGUAGCCGGCCUGAGAGGGCGACCGGCCACACUGGGACUGAGACACGGCCCAGACUCCUACGGGAGGCAGCAGUGGGGAAUAUUGCACAAUGGGCGGAAGCCUGAUGCAGCGACGCCGCGUGAGGGAUGA
rnacentral:rRNA from 1 species